UCAAAGCCCUAAGUAAGUAACUAUACUUAAUUCCUG
rnacentral:tRNA from 1 species